UACGGGGGGGGCAAGCGUUGUUCGGAAUUACUGGGCGUAAAGGGCUCGUAGGCGGCCAACUAAGUCAGACGUGAAAUCCCUCGGCUUAACCGGGGAACUGCAUCUGAUACUGGAUGGCUUGAGUUCGGGAGAGGGAUGCGGAAUUCCAGGUGUAGCGGUGAAAUGCGUAGAUAUCUGGAGGAACACCGGCGGCGAAGGCGGCAUCCUGGACCGACACUGACGCUGAGGAGCGAAAGCCAGGGGAGCAAACGGG
rnacentral:rRNA from 1 species